rnacentral:rRNA from 1 species
GGCGAACGCUGGCGGCGUGCUUAACACAUGCAAGUCGAACGGAAAGGCCCUGCUUUUGUGGGGUGCUCGAGUGGCGAACGGGUGGGUAACACGUGAGUAACCUGCCCUUGACUUUGGGAUAACUUCAGGAAACUGGGGCUAAUACCGGAUAGGAGCUCCUGCUGCAUGGUGGGGGUUGGAAAGUUUCGGCGGUUGGGGAUGGACUCGCGGCUUAUCAGCUUGUUGGUGGGGUAGUGGCUUACCAAGGCUUUGACGGGUAGCCGGCCUGAGAGGGUGACCGGCCACAUUGGGACUGAGAUACGGCCCAGACUCCUACGGGAGGCAGCAGUGGGGAAUAUUGCACAAUGGGCGGAAGCCUGAUGCAGCAACGCCGCGUGCGGGAUGACGGCCUUCGGGUUGUAAACCGCUUUCGCCUGUGACGAAGCGUGAGUGACGGUAAUGGGUAAAGAAGCACCGGCUAACUACGUGCCAGCAGCCGCGGUGAUACGUAGGGUGCGAGCGUUGUCCGGAUUUAUUGGGCGUAAAGGGCUCGUAGGUGGUUGAUCGCGUCGGAAGUGUAAUCUUGGGGCUUAACCCUGAGCGUGCUUUCGAUACGGGUUGACUUGAGGAAGGUAGGGGAGAAUGGAAUUCCUGGUGGAGCGGUGGAAUGCGCAGAUAUCAGGAGGAACACCAGUGGCGAAGGCGGUUCUCUGGGCCUUUCCUGAUGCUGAGGAGCGAAAGCGUGGGGAGCGAACAGGCUUAGAUACCCUGGUAGUCCACGCUGUAAACGGUGGGUACUAGGUGUGGGGUCCAUUCCACGGGUUCCGUGCCGUAGCUAACGCUUUAAGUACCCCGCCUGGGGAGUACGGCCGCAAGGCUAAAACUCAAAGGAAUUGACGGGGCCCCGCACAAGCGGCGGAGCAUGCGGAUUAAUUCGAUGCAACGCGUAGAACCUUACCUGGGUUUGACAUGGAUCGGGAGUGCUCAGAGAUGGGUGUGCCUCUUUUGGGGUCGGUUCACAGGUGGUGCAUGGCUGUCGUCAGCUCGUGUCGUGAGAUGUUGGGUUAAGUCCCGCAACGAGCGCAACCCUUGUUCACUGUUGCCAGCACGUUAUGGUGGGGACUCAGUGGAGACCGCCGGGGUCAACUCGGAGGAAGGUGGGGAUGACGUCAAGUCAUCAUGCCCCUUAUGUCCAGGGCUUCACGCAUGCUACAAUGGCUGGUACAGAGAGUGGCGAGCCUGUGAGGGUGAGCGAAUCUCGGAAAGCCGGUCUCAGUUCGGAUUGGGGUCUGCAACUCGACCUCAUGAAGUCGGAGUCGCUAGUAAUCGCAGAUCAGCAACGCUGCGGUGAAUACGUUCCCGGG